rnacentral:rRNA from 1 species
UACGGGGGGGGCAAGCGUUGUUCGGAAUUACUGGGCGUAAAGGGCUCGUAGGCGGCCAACUAAGUCAGACGUGAAAUCCCUCGGCUUAACCGGGGAACUGCGUCUGAUACUGGAUGGCUAGAGUGUGUCAGAGGGGGGUAGAAUUCCACGUGUAGCAGUGAAAUGCGUAGAGAUGUGGAGGAAUACCGAUGGCGAAGGCAGCCCCCUGGGAUAACACUGACGCUCAUGCACGAAAGCGUGGGGAGCAAACAGG